CCCUUAGAUGCUCUGGGCCGCACGCGUGCUACACUGAGUGGAUCAGCGGGUCAGGUUGCGCGAAAGUGUUUCCUAAUCUUUAAAUCCGCUCGUGAUGGGGAUUGACGGUUGCAAUUUUCCGUCAUGAACGAGGAAUACCUUGUAAGCGCGGGUCAUCAUCCCGCGCUGAAUACGUCCCUGCCCUUUGUACACACCGCCUGUCGCUCCUACCGAUUGAGUGGUCCGGUGAGGCUUUGGGAUCUGAGCGGAAAGAGCGUUUCGCUGUUUCUGCCCGGAAAACUCAGUCGAACCUUAUCAUUUAGAGGAAGGAGAAGUCGUAACA
rnacentral:rRNA from 1 species